rnacentral:rRNA from 1 species
UGGGGAAUUGUUCGCAAUGGGCGCAAGCCUGACGACGCAACGCCGCGUGGAGGAUGAAGGUCUUCGGAUUGUAAACUCCUGUUGAUCGGGACGAAAAGCUUCAACCUAAUACGUUGAAGACUGACGGUACCGGUUGAGGAAGCCACGGCUAACUCUGUGCCAGCAGCCGCGGUAAUACAGAGGUGGCAAGCGUUGUUCGGAAUUACUGGGCGUAAAGCGCGCGUAGGCGGCGAUAUAAGUCAGAGGUGAAAGCCUGGAGCUCAACUCCAGAACUGCCUUUGAUACUGGCAAUCUAGAGUCCGGAAGAGGUUAGUGGAAUUCCCAGUGUAGAGGUGAAAUUCGUAGAUAUUGGGAAGAACACCAGUGGCGAAGGCGGCUAACUGGUCCGGUACUGACGCUGAGGUGCGAAAGCGUGGGGAGCAAACAGGAUUAGAUACCCAAGUAGUCCCUGAGCGGGCUGGCAAGGCGCAU